rnacentral:rRNA from 1 species
CAACUUUUGACAAUGGAUCUCUCGGCUCUCUCAUCGAUGAAGAACGUAGUGAAAUGCGAUACAUAAUGUGAAUUGCAAAUCCCGUGAAUCAUUGAGUUUUUGAACGCACUUUGCACCGACUGUUUACAGGAGGUUUGUUUGUUUGAAAUGAUUG